UACAGAGGUCUCGAGCGUUAGGCGGAAUCACUGGGCUUAAAGCGUGUGUAGGUGGAUCGUUAAGUACCUUGUGAAAUCCCACGGCUUAACCGUGGAACUGCUUGGUAUACUGGCGGUCUUGAGCAGUCUAGGGGCAGAUGGAACAAGUGGUGGAGCGGUGAAAUGCGUAGAUAUCACUUGGAACGCCAAAGGUGAAGACAGUCUGCUGGGGACUUGCUGACGCUGAGACACGAAAGCCAGGGGAGCGAACGGG
rnacentral:rRNA from 1 species